rnacentral:rRNA from 1 species
UAGGUGGUUUGUCGCGUUGUUCGUGAAAUCUCACGGCUUAACUGUGAGCGUGCGGGCGAUACGGGCAGACUUGAGUACUGCAGGGGAGACUGGAAUUCCUGGUGUAGCGGUGGAAUGCGCAGAUAUCAGGAGGAACACCGGUGGCGAAGGCGGGUCUCUGGGCAGUAACUGACGCUGAGGAGCGAAAGCGUGGGGAGCGAACAGGAUUAGAUACCCUGGUAGUCCACGCCGUAAACGGUGGGUACUAGGUGUGGGUUUCCUCCCUUGGGAUCCGUGCCGUAGCUAACGCAUUAAUUACCCCGCUUGGUGAGUACGGCCGCAAGGCUAAAACUCAAAGAAAUUGACGGGGGCCCGCACAAGCGGCGGAGCAUGUGGAUUAAUUCGAUGCAACGCGAAGAACCUUACCUGGGUUUGACAUGCACAGGACGCCGGCAGAGAUGUCGGUUCCCUUGUGGCCUGUGUGCAGGUGGUGCAUGGCUGUCGUCAGCUCGUGUCGUGAGAUGUUGGGUUAAGUCCCGCAACGAGCGCAACCCUUGUCUCAUGUUGCCAGCGGGUAAUGCCGGGGACUCGUGAGAGACUGCCGGGGUCAACUCGGAGGAAGGUGGGGAUGACGUCAAGUCAUCAUGCCCCUUAUGUCCAGGGCUUCACACAUGCUACAAUGGCCGGUACAAAGGGCUGCGAUGCCGCGAGGUUAAGCGAAUCCUUUUAAAGCCGGUCUCAGUUCGGAUCGGGGUCUGCAACUCGACCCCGUGAAGUCG